rnacentral:misc_RNA from 1 species
AUGUCCAGCAGUGGACUGUAUAGGCUGUAAUGAUGAAUGGAAGAAUAGCAGUGCAUGCAGAUGAUUUCACCAAUGUCACUUAGAGCUUAAAAAACAUACAACAUACAUGAUACGCGUUUUGACAUGUGCUUCAAAUAUGAGUCAAAGUAAGCUGUCAAAAAAUCAGCAAUUAAUGCUGAAAUUUUAAGCCUGCUCAAAAAUGAGACUAUUUAUAUAAUACUAACUUCGAUGUAUUUUAUUUCACGACAUAAAAAUUCUUGAAACGAUAAACGUCUUUAUAGGUUAUGUCGUUAGUGUCAUUGUAAGUGAUAUUCGUUUGCUAUUUGAAAUAGUAAAAUAGAUAAUAUUGAUUUAUAUUAUAGUUCAACACUAUAGUCAUUAAUUUUAUUUAGUUAUUUAAACAGCAAACAAAAUUACAACGAUUAAUUAUUUUAUUGUAAAAAAUAUAUUUCAAAAUAUAAUACAAAUAAAUCUACACUCAUUUCUCAAAAAAUAUAUAUAAAAAGAAUAAUUUUUAUAUUUCCGAUGUCAAUAAAUUAAAUGGAAUAAAUUGUAAUAGGAAAAUCAACAUGAUAAUAUUAUCAUGUUGAUUUUAAUAUAAAAAUAAACUUAUAAAUAUAUAUAUAUUAUUAAAAUAAACUUAUAAUAAUAUAUAUAUAUAUUUAUAAGUUUAUUUUUAUAAUGCGGACACUAUUAUGUAUCAGCUUUAACUAACGUGUCCCAAGUAAAUGUUUGGCUACUUGGGCUAUAACUUACAACGCAUACAUACAAAAGCGUUAAAAUAUAUUUUAAAAACAUACAAUCUUUGAUUAAUUAAAUUAUAAUAUUGUAAAAAAAUAGCGUCAAUUAUUGUUAAUAUUUAUUAUACACAUUUUUCAAUUACACUACAGCUUAUACAACUAUUUUGAACAUAUUAACAGCAGAUCUGAUCAAAAAGUUCGAAAGCCAAACAGGUAUUAGUAAUGAAAAGAAAUCCUUAUUAUAUUUUUUUAAACUUUAGAAGACAGUUUUUACACUAAUCUUGAAAUCAACCAAUUUAAAAAAUGUAUUUUUUUUAUGUAUAACCUUUUUUCAUAAAGAUGUAGAUUAUCAACAGAACAUCAUUGAUAAUUUUUGAGGUCAAUGUUUUUAGCUUUUUUUAACGAGAAAUCACAAAAUGACGAUUCAAAAGUGCUUUUGAAACCUAAUUUAAAAUAGAAAGUAUGAAUGAUUAACUAAUAGCCUUAAGCAUAGGUAAAAAGAGCUUUAACCGAACUUAAGUUUCAUAAUCUGCCAUUAAAGCAUUUAAAACCCAACAACUUACAUAGAAUUCAUAUAAACAGUUUGUGUAUUUAUUUGUGUGUUUAUCAAAGUUUAUUUGCGUUAAAAAAAUGACUCACCUCUAUCACUAAACUUAGCCACGUUCAUUAAACAAUUAAAUCCUAGUAAAUUCCUGCCUGUCUGAAAGACUUACAUCAACUGGUUAUAUGAACAGUCAGCAGUCAGUCAGCUCAGCCUAUUGCAGUCCACUGCUGGACAUAGGCCUCCCCAAGUUUGCGCCAAACAUUCCGGUUUUCCGCAAUCCUCAUCCAGCCUACACCGGCAAUCUUACGCAGAUCAUCGGUCCAACGGGCUCGUCCAAAUUAGCCACCUUCAAAAAGUUGUAACGUGAACGCCGCGGAAAC